rnacentral:rRNA from 1 species
CAGUCGCCGCGGGAAUACGAAGGGGGCUAGCGUUGUUCGGAUUUACUGGGCGUAAAGCGCACGUAGGCGGAUCGAUCAGUCAGGGGUGAAAUCCCAGAACUCAACUCUGGAACUGCCUUUGAUACUGUCGAUCUGGAGUAUGGAAGAGGUGAGUGGAAUUCCGAGUGUAGAGGUGAAAUUCGUAGAUAUUCGGAGGAACACCAGUGGCGAAGGCGGCUCACUGGUCCAUUACUGACGCUGAGGUGCGAAAGCGUGGGGAGCAAACAGGAUUAGAUACCCCCGUAGUCCCUGUCUCUUAUAC